rnacentral:rRNA from 1 species
UUCUGGCUCAGGAUGAACGCUGGCGGCGUGCUUAACACAUGCAAGUCGAACGAAGCAGUUUAUCACGAUCCCUUCGGGGUGACGAUUUGCUGACUGAGUGGCGGACGGGUGAGUAACGCGUGGGCAACCUGCCUUGUACAGGGGGACAACAGUUGGAAACGACUGCUAAUACCGCAUAAGCGCACAGUGUUGCAUGACACAGUGUGAAAAGAUUUAUCGGUACAAGAUGGACCCGCGUCUGAUUAGCUAGUUGGUGAGGUAACGGCCCACCAAGGCGACGAUCAGUAGCCGACCUGAGAGGGUGACCGGCCACAUUGGGACUGAGACACGGCCCAAACUCCUACGGGAGGCAGCAGUGGGGAAUAUUGCACAAUGGGCGAAAGCCUGAUGCAGCCGACGCCGCGUGAGCGAAGAAGUAUUUCGGUAUGUAAAGCUCUAUCAGCAGGGAAGAUAAUGACGGUACCUGACUAAGAAGCACCGGCUAAAUACGUGCCAGCAGCGGC